GACGAACCGUCCAAACGUUAUUCGGAAUCACUGGGCUUACAGAGUUCGUAGGCGGUCUGGAAAGUUGGGUGUGAAAUCCCUCGGCUUGACCGAGGAACUGCCUGUCAGACUGGAAGGCUUGAGACCGGGAGAGGUGAGUGGAAUUCCCAGUGUAGCGGUGAAAUGCGUAGAUAUUGGGAGGAACACCAGUGGCGAAGGCGGCUCACUGGACCGGAACUGACGCUGAGGCGCGAAAGCGUGGGGAGCAAACAGG
rnacentral:rRNA from 1 species